CAGUGUCCUCACUCCCUAGUGUUUGGGAAGCCCCGCUGCACCCCUCAGGGAAGGGGGAAGUUCGUUACAGCAGGAGAGCUACUUUCUUCAGCUGGGGUCACCCAUCCCUGAGGGCACAAGCUUGCUUUUACAAAUUACUGGAUGUACCAAAGCACCCAAGACACAGUCCAGCAAUGAGUGGGCUCAAUACAAGUUUGAGAAACCAGGAAGAUGAAUGAAAAAUGAAGGAAAACUGUGACGCUUCUCUCCACCCUCUCCUCUUCCCCAGCGUCUGGAAGAUACUCUUGUCCAAAUGGGAAAUUGAAGCUAAAA